rnacentral:lncRNA from 1 species
UGAGGAGUUAGAUUUAGACAUUUUGCUAGAAAGCAUUGCAGUUCUGCACUGGAAAGGGGAUGCCCUUUAAGAAACAGCGCUUCUGUGAUGUACAUAGGCUGCUAAGGAGUAAUGAGUUCUGUGUUUGUUUUUUUUUAUUGGUGGCAGAGAAGCUUGUCCCAUUUUGCAAGUUUAUUGAAAAAGGCAGGAGUUAAAAAAAACCUCAACACCUUGAAAACUCAAUUUUAAUUUAUAGUGCAGCUUUCUGCUCUCUUAGACACCAAAGACAAAUUUCCUAUUGAUUUUAUCAGGAGCAAUAUAAGGGCCUGAAAAGGUAAGUAAUGCUCUUUCUUCCUCAUGUGAAAACAUGUUAUUGGGUUCCUCCCUGGAUAGUUUUGGCUAUAUCAUUACAAACAUACACCAAGGACUGAAUGUGGCCUCGCAAUGAAAAACAUUUUGUUUAUUCAAUUUGCAGAUCUCAGAAUGAAGACCCUACUGGGCCUGAAUUGGGGAGGAGGAAUACAGAGCAGGCAGCCAUGCAAGACUUGGUGUGAGAACCAUAUGGAAGGGAAGAAGUAUCCUAGACCCAAGAUGCAAGUUUAUGGAUUGCAAGACAGGAGGCCCAACACUGAAACAGCAUCUAACAAAAGACAAUUAUUGCUGUCAAGCCCUGCAGGGACAGGUUUCAAGUGGCAGCAAUGUGGUAUAAAUGCAGCAUGUGGAAUACAGGGCCUGAGGGAUGCUCAGCACCCAGCAUUACAGGAUUCUGCCUUUUUCUUGUCUUUGGUCUGCUAAAACAUUGCCAAUCCAACAUCACUGGAAGAAGUAUUGAUUCCAGUAGCAGUAAGGUUUAACUAGAGUUCUUGGCUAACAUGACUACUAGCAAGAUUUGGAUCCUUCCACCUCUAGAUCCCCCAGAUAUGUGCUGACCCUCCUCACAGUUAAGACCUCUGUGUCAUGCCCUCUUUCUGCUUGAAAAGGAAUGAAAUGCAAAUUGUAAUGAAACUCCUUCUCCCCUUGAGAGGGAUCCUGCAGCAUGGGUGUAGUGCACUGGUAGAACAUAACAAAGAGAGAAUUUCCAGCUAAGCUACUUAAGGGUCACAAUAUCUUGAAGGAGAGGGAAUAUUUCAAUGCAGAGAAGAUCCUAGACUUCUCUUUGGAGCUCCAGACUCCUUUAUGCAUAAGAAUAAUAUGUUAAUUACUUAGACCAACAAGUUUUGCAUCUCAGCUGCAGUCUUAUAAUAAGCUGAUAGACAGAGAGGAAAUGGUCUGAGAGCACAAGUUGCCCUUGUAUUGGGAAAAUCAUAGGCCAGCAGAGGAGCUGAAAGAAUGGUGCAGAUGAAAGUGAGGGAGAGAAAUAUGAAGCGUUAAAUAGGCAUAUGUGGUCUGCUAGAUUGUUUGGAGAAGAAAGAUGAAGCUAUAAAAUCAAGAUUUAGAUAUUUGCAAGUCCAAGAGAGGAUGGCUCCCAUUUUGCAGUUCAGCUUUGAGUCUCUUUAAUAAAAAAAAGUUGGGCUUAGACUGAAGUUAAUGA